rnacentral:rRNA from 1 species
GACGAACGCUGGCGGCGUGCUUAACACAUGCAAGUCGAGCGGAAAGGCCCUUCGGGGUACUCGAGCGGCGAACGGGUGAGUAACACGUGAGUAACCUGCCCCAGACUAUGGGAUAACCCUCGGAAACGGGGGCUAAUACCGGAUACGACACAGCUUCGCAUGGGGUCUGUGUGGAAAGUUUUUCGGUUUGGGAUGGGCUCGCGGCCUAUCAGCUUGUUGGUGGGGUGAUGGCCUACCAAGGCGACGACGGGUAGCCGGCCUGAGAGGGCGACCGGCCACACUGGGACUGAGACACGGCCCAGACUCCUACGGGAGGCAGCAGUGGGGAAUAUUGCACAAUGGGCGGAAGCCUGAUGCAGCGACGCCGCGUGAGGGAUGACGGCCUUCGGGUUGUAAACCUCUUUCAGCAGGGACGAAGCGUAAGUGACGGUACCUGCAGAAGAAGCGCCGGCCAACUACGUG